rnacentral:rRNA from 1 species
UUUGAUUCUGGCUCAGAGCGAACGCUGGCGGCAGGCCUAACACAUGCAAGUCGAGCGCCGUAGCAAUACGGAGCGGCAGACGGGUGAGUAACGCGUGGGAACGUACCUUUCGGUUCGGAAUAACUCAGGGAAACUUGAGCUAAUACCGGAUACGUCCGUGAGGAGAAAGAUUUAUCGCCGAAAGAUCGGCCCGCGUAAGAUUAGCUAGUUGGUGAGGUAACGGCUCACCAAGGCUAUGAUCUUUAGCUGUUCUGAGAGGAAGACCAGCCACACUGGGACUGAGACACGGCCCAGACUCCUACGGGAGGCAGCAGUGGGGAAUAUUGGACAGUGGGCGCAAGCCUGAUCCAGCCAUGCCGCGUGAGUGAUGAAGGCCUUAGGGUUGUAAAGCUCUUUUACCAGGGAAGAUAAUGACUGUACCUGGAGAAUAAGCCCCGGCUAACUUCGUGCCAGCAGCCGCGGUAAUACGAAGGGGGCUAGCGUUGCUCGGAAUCACUGGGCGUAAAGCGCACGUAGGCGGGUUGUUAAGUCAGGGGUGAAAUCCUGGAGCUCAACUCCAGAACUGCCUUUGAUACUGGCAAUCUUCGAGUCCGGGAGAGGUGGGUGGAACUGCGAGUGUAGAGGUGAAAUUCGUAGAUAUUCGCAAGAACACCAGUGGCGAAAGCGGCUCACUGGCCCGGUACUGACGCUGAGGUGCGAAAGCGAGGGGAGCAAACAGGAUUAGAUACCCUGGUAGUCCACGCCGUAAACGAUGGAAGCUAGCCGUUGGAGAGCUUGCUCUUCAGUGGCGCAGCUAACGCAUUAAGCUUCCCGCCUGGGGAGUACGUCGCAAGAUUAAACUCAAGGAAUUGACGGGGCCCGCACA